CCAAGGAGUCUAACAUGUGCGCGAGUCAUUGGGUCUUGCUUAGGCCCAAAGGCACAAUGAAAGUGAAGGCCGGCUCGGUCGGCUGCGUUGGGAUCCCGCCUUCGACGGCGGGCGCACCAACGGCCCGUCCCAGUCGCUGCGUCGACGGGGCGGAGUGAGAGCGUACACGUUGGGACCCGAAAGAUGGUGAACUAUGCCUGGGCAGGACGAAGCCAGAGGAAACUCUGGUGGAGGUCCGCAGCGAUUCUGACGUGCAAAUCGAUCGUCAGACCUGGGUAUAGGGGCGAAAGACUAAUCGAACCAUCUA
rnacentral:rRNA from 1 species